UAAGGAAUAUUGGUCAAUGGACGCAAGUCUGAACCAGCCAUGCCGCGUGAAGGAUGAAGGUCCUCUGGAUUGUAAACUUCUUUUAUCUGGGACGAAAACGGGAUUUUUAUCUCAAUUGACGGUACCAGAGGAAUAAGCACCGGCUAACUACGUGCCAGCAGCCGCGGUAAUACGUAGGGUGCAAGCGUUAAUCGGAAUUACUGGGCGUAAAGCGUGCGCAGGCGGUUUUGUAAGUCUGACGUGAAAUCCCCGGGCUCAACCUGGGAAUUGCGUUGGAGACUGCAAGGCUGGAGUCUGGCAGAGGGGGGUAGAAUUCCACGUGUAGCAGUGAAAUGCGUAGAGAUGUGGAGGAACACCGAUGGCGAAGGCAGCCCCCUGGGUCAAGACUGACGCUCAUGCACGAAAGCGUGGGGAGCAAAC
rnacentral:rRNA from 1 species